rnacentral:lncRNA from 1 species
GUGACUCAGGGUGCUGCUGGCAGGAGUGAGGCUGUGCGUGGAGCGUGCCGCUGUCAGGGGAGGAAUGUUUGUAUAAACACGAAUGUGAAGGAAAUGCCUGGGGAGUAGCUGCCUGCUAUGGAAAUGAGCCUGGAGGUCAUCUGCGAAUAUCCGCAACAGAGACCUGGUUCUGGAUGAACUUCUCCAGCCAGAGGAGAUAAACCCAGUGUGUGAUUCAUGUGUCCAGUCAAAACUGACAGCACACUUCAGCAGAAGCCAUCUACUGUGUGCUGCUAAUGUGUAAUUGAUAAGCCAUGGCUUACUGGGAAAAAAAAUGGUGUGAGAAAUAUGAAAUACAUGUGAUAAAAGUAAUAACCUGAUCGCUCCUGAAUAAGAAAAGAGAUUGCAUUUGUUGAGCAAAUCCCAAUCCACCACUUCUCACGCUGGUACCGAAGGGCAGCUGUCACAGGAUGCACAGCUCCGGAGGGCUGUGGGUGACUGAGUUUACUGCAGAG